rnacentral:rRNA from 1 species
GUGGGGAAUCUUAGACAAUGGGGGCAACCCUGAUCUAGCCAUGCCGCGUGAGUGAUGAAGGCCUUAGGGUCGUAAAGCUCUUUCGCCGGGGAAGAUAAUGACUGUACCCGGUAAAGAAACCCCGGCUAACUCCGUGCCAGCAGCCGCGGUAAUACGGAGGGGGUUAGCGUUGUUCGGAAUUACUGGGCGUAAAGCGCGCGUAGGCGGAUCGGAAAGUUGGGGGUGAAAUCCCGGGGCUCAACCCCGGAAUUGCCUUCAAAACUCCCGGUCUUGAGGUCGAGAGAGGUGAGUGGAAUUCCGAGUGUAGAGGUGAAAUUCGUAGAUAUUCGGAGGAACACCAGUGGCGAAGGCGGCUCACUGGCUCGAUACUGACGCUGAGGUGCGAAAGCGUGGGGAGCAAACAGGAUUAGAUACCCGUGUAGUCC